UUUCCUAGAACUAGAUCAUGCUCUCUGUUAUAGUACAUUUGUUGAAGAUAGUUAAUGUCAAUUUGGAAUCUACUUUUCAAUAAUUGAGUUUCCAGCAACCAAGUAUGACUAAAAGUUUCUGACAUUUCUUAACUAGAUGGAAUGACGGCUUGUUCAGAAGUUAGUAUGACUUUGAAUAUCCAAAUUUAGGCUUAUGAUUUGAGCCACAAUGUGGAAAAAGUCAUCUUUUUAAUAUGGCUUGUAAUUUAGAUAUGGUCUUAUAUAUCUUUCUGGAGAGCGAAGUUGUGAAAUCUGUUGUUAAAGUUGUGUGUAGGAACAAGCAAAUGGAGAACAUUAAGCUAUAAUCCUAAAUCUAAAUCUAGGGAUAAAUAACUUGAGGUGGACUUGUUGUUCCAUCUAGCAUGUUGGGUAACUCCUUUUCCCUUUUCAAUAUUCGCUUAUACACUUUCCUCUAUUACAAUACUCCUCUUUGCUAGUUCUUUCUAUAGCUUCUCCUUCUAUUUGACUCAAUUGAUCUUUUUAGCAGUUUUAUUAAAAUUUCUCACCUAUACUACUGUUAAUCAUACGUACUCUAUUUGGAGAAAAAUUUGAGUGAUCUUUUGCUUGUUGGUUUGGCUGAUGAAGUUAGAGUGCGAAUAAUGUAGAACAUUAAAAUGACAUGGUAGUUAGUUGGAACAUCAUUCCAUAAUCUCAACUGUGAAGGAGAUAUUCUAUGCAGAUGAUUCUAUGGACCAACAAGGUCUAGGAAGUUUAUCCUUGGGUUGUAGGCCAUAUUUCUCAUACUAGAGUAGGCUACAAGUUAUAGCUUUGUUAAAUUCAGAGGUGGUCUUACUGCUAAUCUUGCCAUUGCAAGUCUUUCCAUUCCAAGAUAAAGAGGGUGCUUGGAGGAUUUUAUAUAAUGAAAUCAAGAUAGAUAGGAUUUUACAAGUUUGUUAAAAGAAAAAUAUUCAACUAGUAUGACAGGCCCCAUAUUCCCGCUUUGUUCCACCUCUGGUUUAUGCCUUCAUAGUUCAUGGGCAGUUAAAAAAAAAUAGCCAGUGAUUCACCUAUAUUGUAAGUCAAUUAUUCCUUAUAUUCUUUUCUGUGAAAAGAUAGACUAAUAGAAUUUAUGUCUUCAAUACAACUAAACUCUUUUUCUAUUUGAUUCAUUCAUCUUUUCUUUUUUUUAAAACAAAGUUCAUUAUUGUCAUUUCAGGUCAUAUGCUAUGAUGUUCAGAAAUUUGACAUGUGGAAGACUUCACUAUGAUAAAGAGUUAGAGAAACUGUUACGCGUAAUGUAUCGUCUAGUAUCGUAGUAGCUAUUAUUAGUUGUUGGACACAAAGUGACACUAGUAACUAUUAGAUCAGAAUAGUUUAAUUUUUUUUGUUGUUGAUACAUUUAAUGAAAAGUAUUAGUAUUAUUUUU
rnacentral:lncRNA from 1 species